AUUGAACGCUGGCGGAAUGCUUUACACAUGCAAGUCGAGCGGCAGCACGGACUUCGGUCUGGUGGCGAGUGGCGAACGGGUGAGUAACAUAUCGGAACGUAUCCAAUAAUGGGGGAUAACGAGUCGAAAGAUUCGCUAAUACCGCAUACGCCCUACGGGGGAAAGCUGGGGACCUUCGGGCCUGGCGUUAAUGGAGCGGCCGAUAUCUGAUUAGCUAGUUGGUGAGGUAAAGGCUCACCAAGGCGACGAACAGUAGCUGGUCUGAGAGGACGAGCAGCCACAACUGAACUGAGACACGGUCCAGACUCGUACGCGAGGCAGCAGUGGGGAAUUUUGGACAAUGAGCGCAAGCCUGAUCCAUCCAUUCCGCGUGAGUGAAGAAGGCCUUCGUGUUGUAAAGCUCUUUCGCAAGGGAAGAAAACUUAGCCACUAACAUUGGUUGAGGUUGACGGUACCUUGAUAAGAAGCACCGGCUAACUACGUGCCAGCCGCCGCGGUAA
rnacentral:rRNA from 1 species